GUCUUACUCGAUGAAGAAGACCCGGCCGUCCCUGCAGACGCCAUAGGACCAGUGUUCAGUGGACUGUUCCAGCCUAUCAAGCAUGAAUUCCUAACAUAUAGACAAGAUGAUACACAAUUGUUUUGCUUAAAUGUACACAAAUAGCGCAUUCCGUUCCGUGCUGGUCUCCCUACGUAACACUACGAAGCAGAUAAAACAGACUAUCAUGAGGAUCAAGUGUCUAUGGGCAAGCCAUCCACCUUCCUCUAUGCAUUACAUCUGGAGUCAAAGAAAGCUACUUUAUAUAAAUAGCUUUAGAACACAGAUGUGUAAGAAAAAGCUAUAAUGGUUAAAUAUUUAUAAUGGAUUGAUGUAUAAUAUAAGCGGGCAGGAAAUGUACUAAAUUAAUACUGGUCUGACUGAAGGGAGUCUAUUUGUCACUAAGCAACCUAGAAGAGGAAAUAGGGGAUGAAAAUAGGUAUAAUUUGCUUUGUGCUGGUUUCAUGCUUUCAUUUGUUUCUAGAGUUGGCAAAGAUGUUUCAUAUAUUAUAUGUUGUGGGAUAUCUUAUUUUUAUUGUGGGUCUUUCAUUUUUUAUAUAUAUUUUAAUGUCAAAAGAUGAGAUAUAAAUGCAAAAGUUAAUAAAUUAGGAAAUAUUAAAUACCAUUAGGUUGGCAGUCUGCUGAAAUGGUUUCUCCCAUUCCCUCAUAUCAAAGAAAAGCAAUGAAAUUAUUAAAACUAUAGGCAGAUUAGAUCUCCUGUAUCUCAUCAUAGGCGUGUUAUGAGGAUUCCACCACACAAUAAAAAUAAGCACUUAAUGCAAAUGUGUGCCACCUUUCCUAGGCUGAGGGCUGCAUUUGGUUUUCAAUUACAUAUUGUGGUUUGCAUUCUAAAAAGCAAUGGCUAUGACUAGGACAAAAACUAAAUUUAAUUUGAUUUCACUUACAUUUCAUUAAAAUUAAUAAUUUUAUGUGCAUAUAUGGAGGGAAUGGUGUCCUUCAAGCUUUAAAAGAUCUUCAUCGUCAUCAUCACCACCACCAUUAAAGUUUAUAAUAUCUUUCCUGUUCAUUUCCAAGUGGCUGGUGUAUAAUUCAGGGGAAUAUAAGCAUCUACUAAAACUAUUAAGUCCUCCAGAAUAAAAUUAGUAUGCAAAAUAACAGUUAUCCCAAAGGGAGCCACUAUUACUCAUAACCAUAGCAUUUGGACCAAUGCUGCCUUUUGAGACUACAUCUUCAACAAUUAGCUGAACCUACCAGGAUGGCCCAGGAGACAAUUUCCAGAAGACAGAAUUAAUGGAUGCAGAAUAUGCCAUGUGACCAAUGCACCACAGUGUAGUGUCCUUAUCCAAUGUGUCUCAUGAGCCAUAGGAAAGGUGUGUUUCUGUAGUUUUGUAUAGCAUCUUAGAACAUUUUUGUACAUGCAAUGCUUUGUUCAUAAUUAAAAUGAAUAGCUAAAAUACAUGUAAUGCUUUGUUUAGGCAUCUCUAGGAUUAAUAGUGGGUGAGUAUUGAGGAAAUCAUACAACUGUCUUCAGAAAGCACAGAAUAUCCAUGAUGUAGCAGGUCUGGAAUGUAACAUCUCAAUGUUUAUCUCUAUCUUCUCAUUUUAAUCCAGGAUAAUAAAAAAAAAUGGGAACAGAUACAUAGACAUUUAAUGGCAUUUCAUAUGCAUUUCAGCAGAGGAAGGUUUUUCAUGAAAGAUUAAGCAGACCAUCUACAAUUUUUUAGCAACUGAACAGGAUAAUACGGGUAGUCCUUACUUUGUGACUGCCUCGUUUAGUGACCGUCAAAAUUACAACGGUGCUAAAAGAACAGCAAUCAAUCCUCAUACUUACGACCUUUGCACCAUCCCUCUACUCUUAUUUUCACUUGCUUAUUUACCCCAUACUAAGAUAUACUCAAAGACAAAGAGAAAGAACCCCAGUUCAGCUGA